CAAACCAAACCCAAACUAGAAAUACUCAGCUUAUUAUUUUUCAACUAAAAUGAGUUCGUCGACUAAUUCCGCAGCAGCAUACCCUCCUCAUCCCCAACCUUACUCGAUGGCGCCUGGAUCUUAUUACGUGCAGGCUCCGCCACCUGCUGGUUAUCCCACAAGAGAUGCUCCAAAUCCUGCUUCCGCUCAUCAUGGGCCUGUAGAAACCAAGUCCAAGGGUGAUGGCUUCUGGAAGGGAUGUUGUGCUGCCUUGUGUUGUUGUUGUCUCUUGGAUGCUUGUUUUUGAACAUCAUCAUCCUAUGUGAUUUUUGAAUUCAGCCCAGUAAUCAUAUAUUACUUUAUUCGUUUGUGAAUUAUGUUUUCCUCACUUUCUGUAACUUUUGCGUUAUUAUUCGAUUAUGUAAUUCUUGUUGUUGCAUUAUUCGUAUAGUAAAAUUCUAUAAUUUGUUCAAAUAAAAGAGACAAGUUUUUGUGAGUAUUAAAUAGUUUCACGUUAUGAUAUUAACACUGUACAUUCACGAAUUCGCUUGAAAAAAAAAAAAGAAAAGAAGAAAGAAAACAUGAACUCGGAUUCUGAAGUUAUUAACUGUAUUUUAGGCUGGGUGGGGUAUGCAAUGUCAUCAGUUGAUGACGUGGGAGAACGUGUGACCAAACAUGUGGAAAAUGUAUAUUGGCCGUUCAAUCUAAUAUCCAUACAAUAAUAGAACCCUUAUGUCAUUCGAUUUGAUACUGCCACCAUAAUAGAUAAACAAUAGAAGAUUUGAGGAAGAGUUUCAGAAGGAAAAACAGAGGAAGAUGGAGUAGUUGUUUGAGUAAAACUUCUAUGGUGCAAUUCUUAGACAGUUUUGGGUAUUUCUCAGAUUCUUUGCUUAAGACAAAAGCCUAAGGCUUAUAUAUACAAGGAUAGAUAAAAUCCCAACCAUCCAUGCGGCGUAUUGAUCGACCAUACAAUAAAGUCAAAAAGUCAAACUAUUUGUAUCACAAUCUUUGAACUUCUUGUGCUGUGAAUGAUAUGCCUUGUUUAAGAACUUAUUUGUAUCACAAUCUCAAUUCUCCUAUUCACCAUAUUCUUGGACUGUUAUAUUCUGUGUUGCUUUUUAUUUAGUUCGAAAUCUUUCCUGUGAUGAAUGGUUGCUCUAAAAUUAUUUAUUAAAUACUUGAGGCAAGGGACUUAGCUCCAUCUAUUUUUAUAGGAUGAGAGCUUGUGAGAAUUCCCUGUAAAUGUCUCCUCUCAAGACCCCCGCCCCCUCUAUUCUUUUUGCUCUUGUUUUGGCACAUUGAUGAUUGAUGUGUGAUGCGAUCUUUAUGAUUUAUGCUUGAAUGCCUGUACUUUUCAGUGUUCUUCGUUUGUUAUUGCUGAUUAAUAACAACCUUCUUGUGUGAUUGGUCCAUUACAUUGUUUGUGCUAACUUUCCUUCUCAAAUUUGAUUACUUAGAGUCAGCAAUCUCUUUGACGAACGACUUUAUAGAAACAGCAAUCUCUUUGACGAACGACUUUACUAAGGUGCUAUCCAAGCACCCAGGAAGCAUAAAAGGUGAAGUUGUAGAUAAUAAAAAAUAGAUAUUUGUUGAUUAGCAAAAAACCCAACAAGAAAUGGAGGGAAAUGGUUCCAAAUUGGUGGCAAAUGGGUCUGAAGCUUUGAAGAGGUCAAAAGGAAUUGAUUUAACGAUUAUAUCCCUUAUAAAAUAGGGAUUUAACGGUUUUUUUGACGAAUGAACUAUUUAAGAGCACCUAUAUUAAUGUUAAGGACCAUAGGUGAUACAAAUUUUUUUUUUAACGAUGCAAUUUGAUAGUUUCGCAAACAUAGAGACGUUUUGUGAUAAAAAUCUUUUUGCAAAUUAUAAUUUGACAUAUGUGCAAAAAUAAUUCAUAAAAAACACAAAAAGAAAAACUUCUACACAUAUAUCAAACUGCCAUCGACAUAAAUGUUGAAACUUCUUCUUUACUAACGGGGAUGGUGGGAAGUAUUUUCCAUAAUAUAAUUGCUCUUUCCUACGGAGGUCGUCCACUCCAAAAGUAAUUAUGAGAACAGAAUAGGGCCCAUUGCGUUUUGCUUAGCAGUCUUGUUUUCUUUCUUUCUUUCUUAUUUCUUCUUUUUGGGGUCUGAACUGCCCCACAUAGGUACACUGUAGCCACCCGCGUAAGAGACACUAGUAAGAUAUCAAAUACGUAUCUUCCCAGAAACAACCACUCCAACAAUUGUCAUCUGCUUUCUUGAUCUAUAAAUUGCGCCUCAUCUAUCAUCUACCCAACAAACCAAACCCAGCUAAGUGUUUUCACUUUGUUUUCAUUCCCUUCUGUUUCUAGCAUCUCUCUUUUAUUUUCUUCUUCUACCUCCAUAGAAUACUUUGAAGGCCCUUAGAAAUAUUAUUCAAAGAUGAGUUCAUCAACUUACUCCGGAGCAGCAUACCCUCCCCCACCUUGUUCUACACCGCCGGGUCAGGCUCCACCACCUGCUGGUUAUCCAACAAGAGAUGCCCCAAAUCCCCAUGGACAUGGAGCUGUAGAAACAAAGUCAAAAGGUGAUGGCUUCUGGAAGGGAUGCUGUGCUGCCUUGUGCUGCUGUUGCGUUUUGGAUGCAUGUUUUUGAACAUCAUCCAGGAGAUUCUUGAAUUGAGAGCCCAAUAAUCCACAUAUAUCUUUCAUUUGUGAAUUUUAUUUUACACACAUUUAUUUCAGUUUUUCCGUUGUUAUACUUCUAUGAGGAAAGGACCAUGUCGAUUUCCCAUAUAGUGAUCCUACGUACCGAUUGUCCAAUUCUUUUUAUUGUAUAAUGAUUCUUAUAAUAAAAUUUCUUCAUUUGCAGCUAAUAUAAGGAAAUCUUCCAUGAAUUUAUCUUGAAUCGGGAUCUUUUGGCUCAACUUUAUCUUAGUUCUAACGAGGGAGCAACCUCAUUUUUCACCUUGAAGUGGUCAAAAUAUAUGUGAAAUUUUUUUACUUUUUGUAGAGGAUUAGAUCUAGUAAUUGGAGGUCAUGGCUGACUCACACCAUAAUUUAGCUAUUGCAAUUCUUUUUUCCUUGGUAGCGGGUCACAUGUAUAGAAUCAACUGGGACAUUGGUCAUUGAUGCAAGAGCAUAUGGGUGGAUUAAGAUAGAUAUUUAGCAUUUAAUUAGUUAUUUCAUGAUAUAUUGUUAUUUUCUUACUUAGGUAGUUUUAAGAUAUCUUUUAUUAUUUCACUACUACAAAAAGUGAGAAAGACGACCAGAAAACAACGACGGUCUAAGUGAAAACCGUCGUGGUUUAUAAAAAGACGACGGUUCUAAAAACACCGUCGUGUAAUACAACCUUAGACAACUAAAAAAUGGAGUUUCAAAUGGCUGUUCAAAAACAACGACGUACAUAAUUAAACAACCGACGUCUAUUUGAAACAGAUUUCCGCAGUGUAAAAUCAAUGCCAACAAAGAACGGCAGAAGUUAUGAAUCGACCGACGUAGAAAGUAAAGACGACGAUUUCAAUAAAAACUGCCGUUUUUACUCAUAAAAUAAGACGACGAGGUUUUCGUAUAAGACGCCGUAUAAUUACAAACAAAUCCACGGCUUUAAAAUACAAAAUAUCGCCGUAUUAAAUUAAUUUACAACGACGGAAAAUAUAAAUAUAUCGACGUCAUUCUCGUAUAGUUCUACUACGUUAUCUUUAAAUCGUACAAUAAAAUUUAUCGUCGUAUUUAUUCAUUUUAUACGUCGUACCUUUAAUUUUAACGGUCGUCUUAAUAAGAAUUUUUGUUAACAAUUUUUUUCUUUGAUUUUCAUAUCCUACGUCGGUAGAUCUACUUAAUGACAAGAAUUGAAAUAACCACGACGGUUUAUAUAGAACACCGCCGACAUAAUCAGUUUUGUCUGAGAUCCCAAGGGUUACGAAAUCUUACCAGAUGGAACUCUGUUCCACAUCAUAAUCUUAACAGAUGACACAGAUUUGCAAAUAUUGCGUCGUGUUAGUUUACAAAUUCUAGAACAUUAAUUUCCCUCAUUUUAAAUUUCCUCGGGAAAGAAAAAUCUAUUUAUCACGCUUUGGAAUUGAAAACUAAAACUGAAAGAAUACGGGAAAAAAAACUCCAUUUAUAAUUUAAAAUUAAAAUCCACGUCGGUUGUAGUACACUUAACGACGUUUAACAAAAUAAUCUACGUCGGUAAUUAUAAAUCUACCGCCAUCGUAACUUAAUAUAGACGACGAGAAAAGACGACGGUAGAACAGAAAACCGCCGUUGUUUCAGUUUCUUUAACAUAUCUUUCUGCAGGACUUGUGUAGUUCAAAGCAUUGACAAUGUCUUCAUCAUAUCUCCCAGAAACUACUGAUUCAAUUGCUCAUGCUUUAGAGGCCAUCUGAAGCCAUUUCUAUUCUUAUCGCAUUCUUGAAACCCAUCUUCUUCUUCUGAAGCUCUACGGAUAAAGGAAGAGGCUAUCACAAUAAAUCCGAUGGAUCUUCUUAGGCAAGAAAAUCAAGCAGAGGAUCAGGCACAUCUGAUCUUCAGAUUUCCCUGAGAAGCGAACUUUCCUUCGACAGCGAGUGGAGGCCAGGCUUGCAUCUCUUUUGAUGGAAAGCAAGGAGUAUUCAGAAGCACUAAGUGUCCUAUCAGGCUUGAUCAAGGAAGUGAGAAGGCUAGUUGACAAGCUUCUUCUUGUGGACAUAUAUUUGAUGCGAGUAAGCUCAAUUUCUCUUUGAGAAAACAUCCAAAUUAUUAUCUUUGAGACAUGAGAGACUGAGAGAGGAAGAACUUGGAACCUUAAAUGUAAACCGAAAAUGAAUGAAAGCGACAAAUUUAUAGAAUAAAUUUUUAAAACCAACGGCGGUCCUUACAAAAAAACCGCCGUUUAAAUUGUAAAAUCAACGUCGGUAUGAUCGACGUAUAUUACAGAAAUCCACGUCGGUAAAUUAAUAAAAACGACGUGUUAAAUAAUAUACCAUGACGCGAGUUAUUACUUAUGUACUUUAAUUUUUGAGUUUACUACGACGGUACCUACAAACUACUGUCGUAUUUAUUUACCACGUCCGAAGUUAAAUGUACCGUCGUAUUUUGUAAUUUAUACGUCGUAGUUAUAUGUAACCGCCAUAUUAUUUUUUUGAAAUGGUUUUAUAUGUAAGCAACUUUUCGUCUACUUGACUUACACAUUUGUUGUUUUUAUAUUCUUAUUUUAUUUAAAUCUGUCAUCCAAAAAAGAAACUUUACAUAUUGCAGAAUAUUAAUUUCCUUCGUUUUAAAUUUCCUCCGGAAAAAAAACUCUAUUUAUAACGCCCUGUAAUUGAAAAAUAAACUGAAAGGUCACGGGAAAAAAAAUUCUAUUCAUAAUUUAAAAAUUAAAAUCCACGUCGGUUAUAUUAAACCUAACGACGUUAAAUGAAAUGAUUCCACGUCGAAUGAAAAAUAUUGCGUCGUUUUAGUUAAAAACGACGUAGUUAAAUGUAACCGCCGUAUUAUUUUUUUGAAAUGGUUUUAUAUGUAAGCAACUUUUCGACUUACACAUGCACUGUUUCCAAACCCGAUUAAAAAUUUCAAUCUCCCAGAGAAACCUUUUCGUCUUUUUUCCUUGUCAGAGCAUUGUCAGAGUUUCUCAUCGUCUUCCUCUCGUCUUCUUCGUCGUCUCUGAACUUAAACAUCGAUCAUCUUCCUCUUGCUUUCAUUGCACGCAAAAGGUAAGCUUUCAUUUUCACUAUUUUGGUUACUGUUUUGCAUGCUCAUACGUUUUUUGUUUGAAAAAUCUUUUUACCUUUUUUAUGGCCAAAAUCGUUUUACUUCUUUCCAAGUUUGAUAAAAUAUACAGACAAAGAGAGAAAGUUUCCAACUUUGAAGACAACUACAUCAACUAAAUAAGACGACGGUAGACCACGACGGUUCGUCAGUUGUUCUAGCGUCGUCUGAAAAUUGACAAAGUUGUUUUUAAAAUAAUAGUCUUUUUUUAUAUGCUUGUUUAAUUGCAGGUUUGAUUUCGCUGAACAAUGGUUUUUGUUUUUCCCUUAUUUGAUAAAAUAUAAAGAAAAAGAAACUAGGGUUGGUAUCUAAUAUAGACGACAAAAUAUCUUAUUGUUUUACGUCGUGUGAAUGUUAAUACCACGACGGUGUAUUACUAUUGACGUCGUAUGAACAUAAAUACCACGACGUUAUAUAAAUAAUAGUUUACCACGACGGUGUAUUACUAUUGACGUCGUGUGAACAUAUAUACCACGACGUUAUAUAAAUAAUGGUUUUAAACAUUUAUUACGUCUGAGAUUAUUUCAUUGCGUCGUCUAAAAUCAUAUCAUACGUCGUAUUUUUUUAAUACCGUCGUUUGUGUUCUUAAUGUUUUCCUGAAAUAUUUUCACUUGCAGUUUUGUCUGUUAAAAUGGUUUCUCAACAACAAACUAAGGAUUCUGGCUCCAAGAAGCUUGGAAUGGUAGCUCCUCAAGAUAAGUCUUCGAAGGAGAUGAAGUCUUCGAAGAAGAUGAAGUUUGCUUCAUCAUCUGCUGAGACAGAACAAACCAGCCAGACAACAAUCUCAGAUGAUUCAAGGACUGGUCGAGGUAUGAGCACAAUGCCUCGUGUUGUGAAGAGAAAGCUUCAGAAACUGAGGCCAAUUGUUGAGUACAAUAAAAGGGGGAAAGGUGUUGGCCAAGCACAUAUUGAGAUGCAGUCGUAUAUUGGUGUGUUGGCACGCUCCAGGAUCCCACUUGUGGACAAGAAAUGGUCCCAAAUCCCCAAGGAUAUAAAGGAGCAGAUUUGGGAAGCAGUUGACAUGGCUUUUGUCGUAGGCCAAGGGGGCAAGACCUCUGUUUUAGCUUCUGCUUCCAAGAAAUGGAAGGAUUUACUACGUCGUUGAAUGGAUAUACUACGUCGGUUAUGAAAAAUAUCGUCGUCUGUGAUUGAAUUUCUUUUUAUUUAUAAACCCUAAUAGUCAUUGUUUAUGCAGUAUGCCAAGGGAAACCAGGAAGCUUCAUACCCCCAAGAAGCCAUUGAUGAAGUCCGGAAUGAAUGGGCAGAGUUUGUUUUCCAAAUUAUUAAACAGGGCAAUUAUUGAACACUUGAUAUUUAUGUAUAAUGUACCAAUUUUCUCUAUAAUAUGUAAUGUAAAAAUUUGUUGAGGUUUUCUUAAAUUAAAAAAAAAAACAAACAUACAAAUUGCUUAACCGACGUGUAAUACUUUUCCAACGACCUAAUAAAGUCAAUAACCGUCGUAUUUUGUUGUUGCGUGUUUUAAACAAAUACGACGUAAAAAAAUAGUUAGACGACGUUCUUUGAACAAUUGAGUCGUUAAUGGUUUACAAUAUCUUCAAUUUCUUAAGGGUUCAGGGUAUAAUCGACGACGUUUAUGUAACGACUGCGGUUAAGUCGUAAAAUAUAUAUUUUACGUCGUAUAGUUAAAUAGCCGCCAUGGUUUCUCAUUUUAACGACGUCAUUUUAACGACUUAGUAGUCUAUUACAAUUUACAACGUCUACAAUUUAUUUAACACCGACGUGGUUUGUUGUAUGGUAAGAAUAUUUUAUUAUUUUUAUAUCAAAAUAUUCAAAAUAAAUAUAAAAUAAAUCAGAAAAUUGAAAAGUCAACUCCUAUGAAGUCAUUGAUAUAUUUUCUUCCACAUAAACCUUGAAAAAAUUCAUUUUGAAUAACAAAAAUUUAAAAUGACCAUCCAAAACAAAAUUGUUUUGAUGAGUCAUAAAAUCACUUCUAGUUUUAUGGUUUAGGGUUUAGAGUCUAGGGUUUAGAGAUUAGGGUUGUUAUUUAUUGGGGUUUAUUUUUAAAGUAUAAUUUUUGGGUAGUCUAGGGUAUAUGUUAGGCUUUAAAACCAUAAAACCUUUUAUAAACUUAAUUUUUUAAAUUGUAUAAUUUAAUUUUAUGGGUUUAGUGUAUUAAUUUUUAACGACGGUGGUUGGGUCGUGGAAUACAUAUUUUACGUCGUACAGUAAAACAUACGACAUGGUUUACGCUUUAAACGACGUCAUUUUAAUAUGUAAGUCGGUUUAUAUAAUUUACAACGUUUUUAAUUUCUUAACACCGACGUGGUUUCUCAUUUUAACGACGUCAUUUUAACGACUUAGUAGUCUAUUACAAUUUACAACGUCUACAAUUUAUUUAACACCGACGUGGUUUGUUGUAUGGUAAGAAUAUUUUAUUAUUUUUAUAUCAAAAUAUUCAAAAUAAAUAUAAAAUAAAUCAGAAAAUUGAAAAGUCAACUCCUAUGAAGUCAUUGAUAUAUUUUCUUCCACAUAAACCUUGAAAAAAUUCAUUUUGAAUAACAAAAAUUUAAAAUGACCAUCCAAAAUAAAAUUGUUUUGAUGAGUCAUAAAAUCACUUCUAGUUUUAUGGUUUAGGGUUUAGAGUCUAGGGUUUAGAGAUUAGGGUUGUUAUUUAUUGGGGUUUAUUUUUAAAGUAUAAUUUUUGGGUAGUCUAUGUUAUAUGUUAGGCUUUAAAACCAUAAAACCUUUUAUAAACUUAAUUUUUUAAAUUGUAUAAUUUAAUUUUAUGGGUUUAGUGUAUUAAUUUUUAACGACGGUGGUUGGGUCGUGGAAUACAUAUUUUACGUCGUACAGUAAAACAUACGACAUGGUUUACGCUUUAAACGACGUUAUUUUAAUAUGUAAGUCGGUUUAUAUAAUUUACAACGUCUUUAAUUUCUUAACACCGACGUGGUUUUUCAGUCGUCGUUAUAUAAAAAAUUCAAAAUAAAUUUAAAAUUAAUCCGAAAAAUGAACGGCCUUACGUUCUUAAUCCGAAAAAUGAAGUUUCCGUCGUGGAAUAUUAAAUUUACGUCGGUACUUGUAGAACUUUCGCCUUGGUUUUUCUUUCGACGUUUUAUAACGCGCGCGCUCUAAAAAUUUUCGCGCGACCUAAAUUUUUUUAGAUUUGGCUCUUAUUCUUAUACUUUGAUCCCUGAAACCUAAAAUUUCAGAUUUCACGCGACAUAACAUUUCGCUCUCUCACUUCUGCUCUAAUUAAAAGUUGCACUCUCCAGGCUCGUCGAAUCUGUGAGCUCGUCCAACCUGUAAGUACAAACCCUAUCUUCCCCUUGUAAAUUCAUUGAAUGAUAUUAGGUUGUUUUGUUAAAGGGUUUUAGGUAUAUGCUUUGCGAUCUGUUAAUAAUGUGCUUAUAGGUAUGGGUUCAUGGAUUUUCUGUUUAAUGGGUUCAUGACAAAGGUGUACUUUUGCUGGAAAUCAACACAAAAAGACACAUCACCAACUUCCAAAUGAUUUCCAGCAAAAGGACACCUUUAUUUGAUCUUGUCAUUUUCCGCUCUGGAGAAGGUGCAAAGUGCACCAAUGCUUAUAGGUAUGGGUUCAUGGAUUUUCUGUUUAAUGGGUUCAUGGAUUACAUUAUCUGUUAUGUUGAAUUGGGAAUGGAUUUAAUUUUGUCGUAUCUUUUAAUCACCCUAUGUUAUGUUGAAUUGGGAAUGGAUUUAUUGUUUUCAUGCUUGGUUUCAUGUAUAUGUUGGUUUCUUGCUUGGUUUCAUAUAUAUGUUGUGUUCUUAAUGGGUUUUGUGUUCUUGAAAAUAAACUGAGACACGACGAAUUUUAAGGCGUACGACGACGAUUACACGACGGUGUUUUUAAACUACCGUCGUUGUAUUACUUAUACACGACGGUUUUUUCAUAAACCGUCGUUUGUAUUACGUAUAAUAGACGACGUCUGUUGAAAAUCCGUCGUCUAUAUAUGCCAAAUACGUCUGUUUUUGAUUAAAACCCGUCGUCUCUGUUGUUUAUCUUAUAUAUUUGGGACCGUAAUGCUUGAAUUUUUCGUGUCAUGUAGGCAACAUAUGAUCCACAUCAAGACUGCUUAUCCAAAAUUUAGAAAGAGAACAAAGUGGCUGCAGGAUAAGCACAAUAGCACUUUCAUUCAAUGGCUACGCUUCAAGGUAUAUGUUGUUCAAUAACGUAUUUCUCUUUUAAUUUUCUUCUUAUUUAUAUGUUAGGAUGAAUUAAGAUAUGAUUAAUUUGCAGGUUCAAAGUGAAGUUGAGGAAGACAAUCAUGGCGUAUCAGAAAAUUUAAGGUGGCUAGCAGCUGGUCCAAACAUGUCAGUGCCAUUAUAUAGGAGCUAUCUUAUUAAAGGUAUUAAAUUCAAUAUCAAGGCACAAGAUGAUGUGCGGACAACUCAAAAUAGUGGAGUUUAUUUACUUGCACAUACCAUGCAAGUUGCUAGUGCCAAGGAUAAAAACCCAAUUCUCUCAAAUAUGGGUUUCUAUGGUGUCAUUCAAGAAAUUUGGGACCUUGACUACCAAAAGUUUACAAUCCCAGUCUUUAGGUGUGAUUGGAUAGAUAGUUCUGGUCUUGUAGUCGACGAACUUGGAUUUACCCUUGUAGAUUUGAGUAAAAUUGGACAUAGGAAUGACCAAUUUGUUUUGGCUUCUCAAGUCAAACAAAUAUUUUUUGUUGACGACCCGAUGCAUCGUGGUUGGUCGGUAGUGUUAUCAAUGCCUAGUAGAGAAUAUAAUGAUGUUAUUGGUGAUGAAGUAUUAGGUGAUGUGAUAAUUGAGUGUGAGCCAUUUACUAGAGGGAUGCCAAAUGUUGACACAUUUGAUGAACUGGUAGGUGAGUUAGGCGGUCAAAAUAUUCGAGAUGGGUGUGAAGAUAUAUGGAUUGAAUGAUGCUUAUGUAAUUGGCAGUGUAUGACAUUAAUUUUGUAAUAUAUUGUAAUGUGAUUUCUUCACUUUCUACGUUCAAAUAAAACACGACGUUAUUGUGAAUCAGUUAUUCAGCAUAUUUACCGACGUCUUAAAGCAACGUAACAAUGAAGAACCACGACGCUAUUGUGAAGCAAUUAUUCAGGAUAUCACGUCGGUGAAGGAUAAAGAACCGCCAUGUAAUUCAAAAUAACACGACUCCAAUCCCAUAAUACCGACGUCUAAAAAACGAGAUAUGUAAUCUGAACGUUAAAAAAUACGACGUCAUCAUACAUUUUCCACGUCGCAAGUUCUUUUAUAAACGAAGAGGAACGAAAUUAAUUCCGACGGAAAUUCAUUAUAACCGCCGUCUAAUAACAAUUAAACGACGUUAUUUGUAAUACGGCUCCCAUCAUAAUCUACGCCGUCUAUAUGUUCUGUAAUACGGCUCUCAUUUAUUUGGAACCGACGUUGUUUAGACGUUCAACGUCGUCUAUAUUAUUAAGUGCGUCGUGAGUAAUGAAUACAUAUAAAUACAACGUCGACUAUAUAAAUGUAUACGUCGUAAAUAAUGACACUGACAACUAUUUCCACGUCAUCUUUUUUAGAAAAAUCGAAGUGGAAAAUUUAUUUCACGACGGUUUUUUGUAAAUAAGAGACGUUGUAGAACUUUAGCAGACUAAACACGUCUGUUUUUAUUGUUUUCCGACGUUGUUGUAUUUAACAACGUCUAAUAUUUAUGGUCGUUGUUUGUUUCUGAAAAUAGGACGUAUAAAUUUUUUAAUACGACUCUCAUAUAUUUGUAACUGACGUUGUUUAGUUUUUCAACGUCUACUAUAGAAACACAUACGUCGUAAAUAAUGACACUGACAACUAUUUCCACGUCAUCUUUUAUCGAAAAAUCGAAGUGGAAAAUUAAUUGUACGACGGUUGUGUUUAUAUGUGCGACGUAGUAGGUAUCAAUAACGUCGUCUUCUAAUGUAUUUAAAGACGUCAUAUUUUUUAUUGUCGUGAAAAUUAUAUUUAACGUCGGCGUAUUUUUAGUGUCGUCGUUGUAUGUCUAUCUUGCGGCUUUGUUCUCUUAAUAUGUGUCAUAUUUUCCCUUUUUAACGACGGUGUUUUUAGAGAAUUGGUCGUCUAUUAUCAUCCUCGAUUGCUUUUUUUAGAUCUUUUUGCAGUACAAAGACGUCGUUUUGUAUUUUUUGAUGACGUUGUAUUGUUUAACAACGACGGUUAUUUAGCGUCGUGGUUUAUGAGGGAAAAGAUGACGGUGGAUUCCACGACCAUUGAAAAACCAAAUACACGACGGUGAUUUACCGUCGUCUUUUUGCUUUUUUGUAGUAGUGUUUGUGUGAUUUUAUAAAUUAAUUAGUUUACUUUUGGACCAAGUAGCCUUGGUGCCCAAGUCUUGUAAAGCCUAUAAAUAAGGCUAAUGUAAUAGUUGUUGGGGAAGGGGGGGUGUUGAUGUUGAUAAUUAAUGAAAUAGUUUAUUUGUGGUAUAGAUUUGCUACGAUAUAUGCGAGUUUGCACUAAUCCUAGAUUUCGGUACUUGUGUAUGUGGUUGGUGACCUAUGUUCAGAUCCCGAUCCCCAUCAAUUGGUAUCAGAUCUAUGGCUCAAGAUUUGCUUUAUCAGGAAGGUUUUUGGGUGGAGGGUCUUGUUGACAACUACAACGACAUUGAGGAAAUUAGAAGGAUGCUACGGCAACUUACGGAAUGCAUCGCUCGCAUUGAAGCUCAAACCCAGAUAGGUAAGAGUUCUGACGGGUAGAGAUGCGUGAACCCUUAUCUGAAUCGAGUAGCUCGCAUCGACACUCUAAGCCAUGGGAGUCUCGACAGAGAGUAUGAGGGAGGUAGCCCUUUGAUUCAAGCCUACGAUAUAUGUGAGUUUGUACUAGACCUAGAUUUCAGUAUUCGUGUAUGUGGUUGGUGACCUAUCUCCGGAUCCCGAUCCCCAUCAGUCAUGAUAUAAAAGAUAUUUUAUAGAGACUUACAUUCCCAAUGUGGGACAUGUCGCUUAACCCAACAAUCUUAACUAGUAUAAUACGAAACAAAAAACAAUGAUUGAUGUUUCAUUUCCUUAAUAUGUCAGAUGAAUUCUGUAGGGGCUUUUUUUCUUCCGGUAGCUAUAAAUGGGCUGGACUGCCGUAAAGAGCAAAAUGGCUGAAAUUUCCCCUUUAUGUUUGAGUUCAAAUAUCAGACCCCAAAAUGUUUCGAAAGGAUAGUAAAGCCUUAGGAAACACCCUAGUUACCUUCACCAACGAACAUAAUGGUUGUUUACAGAUGAAUUCUUAGUGCUUACAUGUAGAAUCUUAGCUUGGCAUGAGAGGCUUGUGGCAUGGGAGCAAAGUUGUCAUGAGUUUAGCACUAAAGAGAAAAUUAAGUAUUCCUAGGGGAAAGAUGUGGUAUUAAGGUGGGAGAGAAAUGAUUUUACAAAGAGGUUUGGUUGAGCAUGAAGGAAAGAGAGGAACGGGUGGCUUGAGUGUUUUUCCUGCAGCUUGACAGAGGCUCUGUCAAGUGUUAGAACAGCUUGCCAAGAGGGAAACUAAGGGAAAAGGAUGGGUUGAGCACGAAAUUGCUGGGUUUUGGGAGUAAGAGAGGAAGUUUGCUUUCUGGAUGUGAUUGAUGCUUGUUGGGUAGAAGAGGCCUCUUUUAUAGCCGCUGGAAGCUGACAUUUUCCAAGAAACCCUUAUAGUUUCUAUCCAAUUUGGCCAAAUCUCUCCCUUCAUUUCUUCUCUCCUCCUUUGAAUUUUCCCAUCUUGGUGAAAUUUCUUCGGUCUAUUUGCACAAAAUCAUGGAUUUUUGGGAGCUCAAGGCCCUUUCCCGCAGCUGUUUUAGUAGGAGACUCCCAUUCUCAGCUAUUUCACUUUUUCUUUCCUUCCUCCUUCCAUGGCUAGAUCUGAUCAAGGAAAGCAAAUGGAUAUACAUGCUAGUUCGAAGGGUGCCUCUCCUCCUGGCAGCUUGCGCGCUAAUAUCCUUUGGUUCUUCGGAUGUUUUGUGCAUGGAACUUGUUCCUUCCCAUGUGCUAGAGCCUUCCAGCAGCUCUGCAUAUGUGGACAUCUUGCUCCCUUCGUGGCUUCUAUUUUUUCAGCAAGGGGUUGAGGCUUUUGCUGCUUCUCAUUUCUAAUUGUAUGGGCCUUCUAAGAUAACAAGUCAACUUACCAAAUAAAUGGGCUAAUCUCAUCAAGUAUUGGGCUAUAUUGGUUAAUUUAAUGGACCAUUUUGGGCUAAGGUAAUGAGCUAUUUUUCUCCUUCGUGCUUACCCAUAUAUUUGGGCUUAAGAAAUGGGCUUGGGUUCUGAGGCUCCCAAGCAACCCGGGACCUGUAUUUCUUGGCCCAUCAAUGGGCCUUAUGACAACUUAUUACCAUCUAUACCACAACCCACUCAAGCAAGCCCCUGACAUUUGAGUGGCUUGGGUCCACUUAGGCUUGUAGCGUGGUUGGGUGUGAAAUAAUAAUUUCCUGCUUGACCUGGCAUGUUGCUUGGUACGCUCUAAUUUUAUUGUCCUUAGAGAGGGACACGGUGCUUAUUUUAGCAUGGGCUUGUAUUUUAUAACCUUACCCCAAUUCCUGGCAUGACAAAUUAUUUAUUUAGCUUAGCACGUGGGCUGUGACUUGUAUAUGACUGGCCUUCAUGUACUCUGAUAUGUGACUUUUCUUAAUAAAUUAUCGUAUUUGGGCCGAAAAUUUAUUUGGGUCCAACCAUGGACUUUUUUUGGGCCUCAACAAAUUCCAAUGCAAAAAAUAAAUAGAAAAGCUUUAUGACGUUAAAAAUUUGAAAUUAAACAUAACAUUAAUUAAAUUCAACCUGAAAUGUAAACUAUGCAUAAUGAGGUAAAAUGUCAAAAAGUGUAUUUUUUUUCGGCCAUCGGAUUUCAAAAUGCAUUUAUUUCAAUAUAAUCUAAAUUACGGAGAGAGGAAUUCGAACUUGGGUGCAGAGUGGGGAGUAUGUCUGUUCUAACCAACUUGGCUAAGCCCAUGCCUACACUAGAGAUAUAUAAUUCUAAAAAGUGAAUGAAAUUAUUGAUGAAAAUGUGACCCAAAAAAAAAAAACCAUCUUGAAGAAUACUUCUAGAAAGCCAGAGGCGAAAAAUUUGGCUCUUUAAAAUUAAGGAGGAACUCAUCCUCAAGGCAAAUGAAAAUUUGACAUAUGUCAAAUUAUGUCAAAUUCCAAAACAAAGAAAGUUAAAAGAAUUUUAAAAAUAAAAUUGACAAGUGUCAAAAUCCCUUUUGUUUUGAGAAGCAACUCGAGCUUAAAAGGAGUAGAGGUGUCAAACGGGACGGGCCGAACCAGCACAGCACGAGCCCAGCCCGUUUAAAUGAGGCACGACAUGGUACGAGCAUGAAUAUUGAUUGGCCGUGCUUGGCACGGCACGAAAACUUGAGCCAAGCCGGGAUCAAAAAAUGAGGUCCAAUAGACCGGGCCGGCCCAUGGCCCGACAUGGGCCGGGCUUGGCCCGAGCAUGCUUCAAGCACGGCAUGAGCCCAAGCACGAGCCCAAGCAUGGCCCAAGCACAGUCCACUUAACAUUUUUUUCUUUCUCAAAAGUCAAAAUGCAAUAAUUUGACAUAUAAUAUCAUUAUUUAUAUGUUUUUUUUUAAUAAUAUAAAUAUAUAUUUUAUGUCUUUCAUUUUAGGGAAAUUACUUGGGUCCUUAAUUAAUUAAACAUAUCAACUACAAAUUAAUUAAACAACACUGGACUUGAUAUCUAAUCAGUACAUAUGACAUAUACGCUUCUCUUAUAAUCAAAGCAAGACAUUUUUUCACAUAUAAAAUAAUAAAUUGUUUAAAGAUGAAAAGAUGAAGUGGACUUUGUGGAGUUGGACACUUUUUGCCGUCCGCCAUUUCAUAUUAUUUGGAUGUUUGAUUGAUUAUUGUUUUCAAAUAGUUCAUAAUUUCUUGCCCUUAAUUAUACUUUUAAUGUUUAUAAUUUGAAUUAUCUAGUAGAAAAAAAAAAUCAAGUGAAAAAAAAUCAAAUUAAAUGGAUUGGUUCUUGGGCCCGAAUAUGGCACGAGCUCGGCCCGACCCGGCCCGAUUCAAUAUAGACAUGGGCUUUGGGCCGGACCGAAAUCAAUGAUUUUACUAAAUGGGCCGGCAUGGCACGGCCAGAUAAAUUAAAUGAACCGGUCCUGCCCGACACAAAAACAUUAAAAGUACGAGUUUAAACAGGAUGGGCCAGCCCGGCACGGCCCCUUUUGACACCUCUAAAAAGAAGUCAAGCUUUUUUCCAAGCCAACUAUGUUGGAUAUCCUCUCACGAGUUGGAUAUAAUAUGAUUUGCUCUUUCCUACGUAGCUUCCACUGGCUAGUCCAAAAGUAAUAAGAAGAAUAAAAUUUUGUAUUUUUCUUCUCCACAUACAUUUUGGAUUUGCACGCGGUGUAGUGUUGCCACCCGCGUUAAGACACUAAUUAUUGACCUUCCAGGAAAUGAACAAUCACUCCAAUUCCCAUCUGGUUUUCUUCAUGUAUACCUAUAAAAUGGGGCUUCAUUCAUCAAAUCAAACCAUCCAAUACAAACCAAACCCAAACUAGAAAUACUCAGCUUAUUAUUUUUCAACUAAAGUGAGUUCGUCGACUAAUUCCGCAGCAGCAUACCCUCCUCAUCCCCAACCUUACUCGAUGGCGCCCGGAUCUUAUUACGUGCAGGCUCCGCCACCUGCUGGUUAUCCCACAAGAGAUGCUCUAAAUCCUGCUUCCGCUCAUCAUGGGCCUGUAGAAACCAAGUCCAAGGGUGAUGGCUUCUGGAAGGGAUGUUGUGCUGCCUUGUGUUGUUGUUGUCUCUUGGAUGCUUGUUUUUGAACAUCAUGAUCCUAUGCGAUUCUUGAAUUCAGCCCAGUAAUCAUAUAUUUCUUUAUUCGUUUGUGAAUUAUGUUUUCCUCACUUUUUGUAACUUUUGCGUUAUUAUUCGAUUAUGUAAUUCUUGUUGUUGCAUUAUUCGUAUAGUAAAAUUCUUUAAUUUGUUCAAAUAAAAGAAAGAAGUUUUUGUGAGUAUUAAAUAGUUGGGUAAUUUUCACUUUAUUACGGUAAAGUUUACUGACUUUUAGAGCUCGAUUCAUCAAAUUUUGUUCGUUUCAGUGGCAUACACAAAGUUUAUUUUCUUACAACUUUCAUACAUAUCGUCAGUCUUUCUGUUAAUUGCUGACGUGGCAACAAAUGUGCC
rnacentral:lncRNA from 1 species